AUUGGGUCAGUGGAAAAGUAAUACAAAAUGAGAAGUAGAUCAGCACUCAGAUUUAAACUUACAGAAACAGUAAACAAUGAAAAAAAGAGAAAAAUACAAGCUAUGGACCAGAGGCAGCCGGAUGGAGGCAAACAGCACUUGUGGAAGGCAAUGAUCAGGAAAACCAGAGCAUGAGAGUGCUCUGGCCAGUGUAACAUGGAUUUACAGAUGCAUAUCUUAUUGAGGUAGAGGGACAUCCUUGUGUGCUGCAUUUCUUACUCCAUAUUCAGUAUAGUAAAGGAUAUCAUAAUUCAAAAGCGUCAGCUUUUGAGUUUUACCAAAACCCCAGUUAUCAGAUAUCAAAUAAAAAACGCAGGUGGGAUUACUUAUGCAUGACAGUGGCUGAUAGCUCUGUGGCCCACUUCUAUAGAGAGAAAAAUUCAGUUAAAUUGAAAUGUGCUCUGUAGAGAAAAAUGCCUUCCAUUUUCAUCCUUGAAUCAAUCCACUUACACUGAGAGAACUGUGAGAACAAAAGACGUGAAGAAACAAUCCCUAGGUGAAUUACGGGAACUGAAGUUGAUGCUCUCUUUUUGGUCCUUCUCACAGAUGCCAGCUUCCUCUGCACAGUGAACAGCAACACUCAGGAAGCAGUAAACAGUCCUGGCUGCCUGACAGUAACCUGAGGCUCCAUCCUGCAGAACAGAAAAUGAAAGGCAAGGACAAACUCAAAGGGAGUGCAAGGCAUACACCAGGGAACAGGACCGUGUUUGCUGGGUGGCAGCUGCAUACAACUUGGACCAGUAAUGGCUCAGGCUCCUGUCUGGUGGCCAAGAGGGAGGAGGAGACCUGGCAAGUGCUCUCUGUACACCGUCACUGGCUUGGGAUCACUGCUCCACUGGUGUCCCAGAAUUCAGACUUCUGGCAUCUGCACAAACACCUCAUCUCCUGCGCCCGCCACGAAGGCAGCUCUGUGAGGAAGGUUAUCGUGCUUUCUGUCCUUAUCAUAGGUACAUGCAGUUCGGUGUAUCUGGUGUCACAGUAUUGGAAGCUUUUCCUCUCAGCUGCACGUGGUCUUAAAAAAUGCACAGGGGGAUUCUGCCAGGGAACUGGUGUCUUUUUCCACAUGAGCAGUGAUUUUACUGCGUCAUCAAAAGUAGUAGUUUCUCCUUAUCUCACUCCAGGUUAUGCAGGGGGUUGUAAGAAGUCUCACUAG
rnacentral:lncRNA from 1 species